CACGUAGGGUGCAAGCGUUGUCCGGAUUCAUUGGGCGUAAAGGGCUCGUAGGCGGCUUAGCAAGUCGGGUGUGAAAACUUCAGGCUCAACCUGGAGCGGCCAUCCGAUACUGCUAUGGCUAGAGUCCGGUAGGGGACCACGGAAUUCCUGGUGUAGCGGUGAAAUGCGCAGAUAUCAGGAAGAACACCCGUGGCGAAAGCGGCUCUCUGGAACGGUACUGACGCUGAGACGCGAAAGCGUGGGGAGCGAACAGG
rnacentral:rRNA from 1 species